rnacentral:lncRNA from 1 species
GCUGCCUGGGUCGGCUGGGCCUGUGGGCCUGCGUCCGACAGCGCGCGGCCGUGCUUUCUAAGCGGGCUCGGCAGCACCAGACUUCACCGGCCCGGCGCGGGGCUCACAAGUGCUCGCACUCCCUGCGGCCGGCGCGCUGACCGGAGCCUCUGGGUCUCGCACGCAGCAGCUGCAGACGCUGCCCGGCGCGGUGGGGCUGUGAGCAAAACGGCCCGCCGGUGUGGUUGCCCAGACUGUGCUGGGCCCUCCUAGGUGGAUGGCCCUGCCCCAGCCUAACUUCUGUACCCCAGCAUAACCUCCAAAGUAACAGCCGUGCCCUGGGAGCCUGUUCAACACUGAACAUAUCCCACAAUAACACUGUUCCAGCGUCGCUGGUAAAAAGCAGAAAUGGCUUCGCUGGAGGCAUCGACAAAUCUAAUGCAGUAACCUCAUUUUACAGAAGAGAACUCUAAGAGGAUAACUAACUUGGCCAAGAU